UAUAUAUAUAUAUAUAUAUAUAUAUAUAUAUAUAUAUAUAUAUAUAUAAAGAGAGUGAGUGAGAGAGGAUUGCCUGUAUGAGAACAUACAACAUGUAUACAUACGUGCUUGCUAACCAUAUCUCAUCUCAGCCUAAGAACGAGAUAUCUUUUAAUGUGUUCAAUAAUCAAUUAUUAAUUUGAUAUGAAUAAUUAGGCGCAGGAGCGGCUGUGUGGUAAGUAGCUUGCUAACCAACCACAUGGUUCCGGGUUCAGUCCCACUGCGUGGCAUCUUUGGCAAGUGUCUUCUGCUAUAGCCCCGGGCCGACCAGUGCCUUGUGAGUGGAUUUGGUGAAACUGAAAGAAGUGUAUUUGGUAGAGCGGCGGAACGACAUGGUUCCGGGUUCAGUCCCACUGCGUGGCAUCUUGGGCAAGUGUCUUCUGCUAUAGCCCCGGGCCGACCAAUGCCUUGUGAGUGGAUUUGGUAGACGGAAACUGAAAGAAGCCGUCGUAUAUAUAUAUAUAUAUAUAUAUAUAUAUAUAUAUAUAUAUGUCACAGGAGCGGCUGUGUGGUAAGUAGCUUGCUAACCAACCACAUGGUUCCGGGUUCAGUCCCGCUGCGUGGCAUCUUGGGCAAGUGUCUUCUGCUAUAGCCCCGGGCCGACCAAUGCCUUGUGAGUGGAUUUGGUAGACGGAAACUGAAAGAAGCCUGUCGUAUAUAUGUAUAUAUAUGUGUGUGUGUGUGUGUUUGUGUGUCUGGUUUUGUCCCCCUAGCAUUGCUUGACAACCGAUGCUGGUGCGUUUAUGUCCCCAUUUCUUAGCGGUUCGGCAAAAGAGACCGAUAGAAUAAGUACUGGGCUUACAAAGAAUAAGUCCCGGCAUCGAUUUGCUCGACUAAAGGCGUUGCUCCAGCAUGGCCGCAGUCAAAUGACUGAAACAAGUAAAAGAGUAAAGAGAGAGUAAAUUAAAGAAUGUAAACAAUGUGAAAGGGAAGAAAAUAGAAAGGAAGGAAAGAAUCGCCAUUUUAUCAUCAUCAUCAGCGGGUCUUGACUGAGGAAAGAGGGCCUCGAAUGACCCGUCCCUUUUUUUUUUUGCCCUGUCCUUCAAAUUGUUGUUUCUCUUAUUCGCCUUGUAUCGUCCCUCUGUCCGAAUGUUUUAUUGUAUACCCUAUUGCGUUUUUGUUCCAUUUAUGUAUGUAUGUAUGUAUGUAUGUAUGUAUGUAUGUAUGUAUGUAUGUAUGUAUGUAUGUAUGAAUGUGUGUAUAUAUAUAUAUAUAUAUAUAUAUAUAUAUAUAUAUAUAUAUAUAUAUAUAUAUAUAUAUAUAUAUAUAUAUAUAUAUAUAUAUAUAUGAGCUUCCUGAAGAUUUCAUUUGAAUGAAACAGUUCUAGUCCGGUAGAAGCUCCUUCUAUAAAAUAAAGUAAUUUACUCUGCUAUGUAUUGAGUACCUUAUUUACUGUGGUUAACCCCGACUCAACCCGGGACCUACAUAUGAAUAUAUAUAUAUAUAUAUAUAUAUAUAUAUAUAUAUAUAUAUAUAUACUUUAUUUUAAGCAGCAGAAAAUUCAACAAAAUCUGUUACUCUGAGUUUCUCGUUGCCGUUCUAGCAAAAAUUCAACAAAAUCUGUUACUCUGAGUUUCUCGUUUCCAUUUCUAGCAAAAACUGUCUGAUGAACGGCAACGAGAAACUCAGAGUAACAGAUUUUGUUGAAUUUUCUGCUGCUUAAAAUAAAGCAUAUUACUCUACCACUGGUAUUUGAGUACUCUUUUUCCACCUUGUUUCACAUUUAUGUGUUUACUCCGGUCUAUAUAUAUAUAUAUAUAUAUAUAUAUAUAUAUAUAUAUAUAUAUAUAUAUAUAUAUAAAUAUAUACAUAUAAUUAUAAGUAAAUAAAAAUAUAUAUAUAUAUAUAUAUAUAUAUAUAUAUAUAUAUAUGAUUAUGGCCACAGCUCGUGAGCUGAAACUAGAUGAAAUUAAAAAAAUAUAUUAUACACACACACAUAUCUACAUACAUACCCACAUUUAUACGUAUAUACACACAUAUACACGCACACAUAUACACACACAUACACGCACAUACAUAUACGUGCAUGUAUAUAUAUAUAUAUAUGUACAUACAUAUACAAUGUAUAUAUAAUCACAUGUGUAUAUAUAUUUAUAUAUAUGUAAAUGAACACACACAAAGUCCGUUUCCAUGUUUUUGCUUUUGUUUUCGUUUCUCAUUGUGUUCAACGUUUAUUUGGUGUCCUGUACCCAUAUAUGCAUGUAUAUAUACGUAUAGAUGUAGGUAUGUACAUAUAUGUAUGUAUAUAUGCGCAUCUCUCUUUCUCUUUUACUUUUGCCGAACCGCUAAGACACGGGGACGUAAACACACCAGCAUCGGUUGUCAAGUGAUAUUGGGGGAACAAACACAGACAUACAAACAUAUAUACACAUACAUACAUAUACAUAUAUACGACAGGCUUUUCUCAGUUUCCGUCUACCAAAUCCACUCACAAGGAUUUGGUCGGCUCGAGGCUUUCCCAAGGUGCCACGCAGUGGGACUGAAACCGGAACCAUGUGGUUGGUAAGCAAGCUACUUACCACACAGCCACUCCUGCGCCUAUAAUAUUUUUAUAUUAUUAUUUUGUUAUUAUAUAUAUUAUAUAUAUAUGAGUGGCUGUGUAGUAAGUAGUUUGCUAACCAACCACAUGGUUCCGGGUUCAGUCCCACUGCGUGGCAUCUUGGGCAAGUGUCUUCUACUAUAGCCUCGGGCCAACCAAAGCCUUGUGAGUGUAUUUGGUAGACGGAAACUGAAAGAAGCCUGUCGUAUAAAUGUAUAUAUAUAUAUAUGUGUGUGUGUUUGUGUGUCUGUGUUUGUCCCCCUAGCAUUGCUUGACAACCGAUGGUGGUAUGUGUACGUCCCCGUCACAUAGUGGUUCGGCAAAAGAGACCGAUAGAAUAAGUACUGGGCUUACAAAGAAUAAGUCCCGGGGGUCGACUAAAGGCGGUGCUGCAGCAUGGCCGCAGUCAAAUCACUGAAACAAGUAAAAGAGAGAGAAAAGAGUAUACGUAUGUAUAUAUGCAUUUAUCUAUAUAUUAUUAUAUACAUUAUAUAUAUAUAUAUAUAUAUAUAUAUAUAUAUAUAUAUAUAUAUAUAUAUAUAUAUAUAUAUAUAUAUUUACAUGUACAUACAUCGCCCGCCCCAUUCGUCUGUAUGGAUAUGGAAGCACUCCGUCGGUUACGAUGACGAGGGUUCCGGUUGAUCCGAAUCAACGGAACAGCCUGCUCAUGAAAUUAACGUGUAAGUGGCUGAGCACUCCACAGACACGUGUACCCUUAACGUAGUUCUCGGGGAUAUUCAGCGUGACACAGAGAGUGACAAGGCCGGCCCUUUGAAAUACAUGUACAACAGAAACAGGAAGUAAGAGUGAGAGAAAGUUGUGGUGAAAGAGUACAGCAGGGAUCACCACCAUCCCCUGCCGGAGCCUCGUGGAGCUUUUAGGUGUUUUCGCUCAAUAAACACUCACAACGCCCGGUCUGGGAAUCGAAACCGCGAUCCUAUGACCGCGAGUCCGCUGCCCUAACCACUGGGCCAUUGCGCCUCCGCAUGGAUACACAAACACACACACACACACGAUACGUAACCCAUCAUUUUCUUGUAUAUUUGAUUGAUUCUUAUCCGUUCAUCUAAACCGUCUUCCAAUAUGUUUAACAUCUCUUCACACUCUUUGGACAAACUCCCAUUGAUGCAUAACAACGAAUUGAAACGCAAACGUCGCAAGAUGUAACAUUCACGCACGCGCACAAACGCAAGGGUAACGCGUAUUCCUCACCAUACAUGCCUCCACUCUCCCCUUUGCACACAAGAAAUUCUAAACCAUUUUUAUCAGCAUAGCAGUUAUUAUUGUUGUUGCUGUUGUUGUUGUUGUUGUUGUUGUUGUUGUUGUUGUUGUUGUUGUUGUUGUUGUUAUUAUUAUUAUUAUUAUUAUUAUUAUUAUUAUUAUUGAUUGAGCGAGCAGUGCAUGCCAUCAAAGUGACACUGGGGUAAAAUAUAUGAAGCCCAAUAUACCCAUCAUGACUACCCAUCUGAUAAGGGUACACCAGGCACAUGCAUCACAGCCAUAUGUGCGCGACAUGGUGAUCUCAUAUCAAGAUAAACAGCACAUGGCCUUGCAGGUGGGGCCCAGUUAGAAUUUUCUUCAGGUUGAGUAGCCCAUCCCGCUCAAAAGGUCCCUGAAUAAGGGUUGUUUAAGGAUGUUAAAAGAACCACCCAUGUUUCCAGAGGUGAAUUAUUCAAACCCCAAAGAAUCCCUCUCAACACAUGGCUUUGAUGCUCCCUAUUAUUAUUAUUAUUAUUAUUAUUAUUAGUAUUAUUAUUAUUACUCUAUGUUUGACUUUUGAUUUACAUUUGUACAAGUUGGCUCCAAGUCUCACCCAGAGACCUCAAGAGACAACAAGUUGGAAGUUCAUGUUGGUGUUCUGCCUAGAGUGCCAUAUAUUUGGUUUUAUACAUAGUAUUGUACUAGUGAAUGUUUAAAAAACCAUAAGAAAAUUAUGUUUGUAUUAUUAUUAUAAUUAUUAUUAUUAUUAUUAUUAUUAAGAAUGCGACCACCUGGCAGAUUAGUUAGCAUGCUGGAUGAAAUGCUUAGCGGUAUUUUACUCGUCGCUACGUUCUGAGUUCAAAUUCCGCCGAGGUCAGCUUUGUCUUACAUCCUUUUGGGGUCGAUAAAUUAAGUUACUAUUGAAACAUAAGGUGUCGAUGUAAUCGACUAUCCCUCUCGCUUUGCGUUUAUUAAUAUAUACAUAUUUUGUAUUUCAUACACAAACUAUUGUAUUUAAUGGGGAGGCGCAAUGGCCCAGUGGUUAGGGCAGCGGACUCGCGGUCAUAGGAUCGCGGUUUUGAUUCCCAGACCGGGCGUUGUGAGUGUUUAUUGAGCGAAAACACCUAAAAGCUCCACGAGGCUCCGGCAGGGGAUGGUGGUGAUACCUGCUGUACUCUUUCACCACAACUUUCUCUCACUCUUACUUCCUGUUUCUGUUGUA
rnacentral:lncRNA from 1 species